rnacentral:lncRNA from 1 species
GUUUGAGCUCAGCUGAGCUGGAAGGAUGGAUUUACUUUGAUGGGUUUCCAGCCCUCAGACUGAUGCACCUCCACAAAGAUGACCUAGCACCUGUCUGGAGGAGCAAAGCUUGGUGUUAAGACGCAGGGCGAGGAGCGAAGGGGAAGAGCGCACGCCAAGGUCACAUCUGCAGCAGCAGCGACGGCAGCUGCACAGCAGCGAUAUUAAACCUCCCUCUGGUGUAGGAUACACACACAGACACUUCUUAAGAGCAACAACGAUCCACAUGAAUUGGAGCAGUCCCCAGAGGAGAGCUGCGUGGCUGGCGUGGCAGGGGGUGACUGAAGGGCACACAGUGAGGGUGGGAGCAGCGUGCCCGGCUGUAGAUGAGAGAUUCUCAGCUUUAUCACCCCCAAGUUUGGCAGUGAUUUGCAACUGGGGAGACGCUCAGCUCACCGCUUGCAAGGAAGCAGUGUGACCUGUGCCAAGAAGCAACGAGCAUCAGAAGGUGGAUAUUUCAAGUGAGCGGAACGAAGAUUAUCUACUUUUGUUGCUGCUUUUAAAGCAUAGUAGGAGGCAUCAGCUCUCCCACCUCUCUACUGGUACUCACUGUACCUCCUGGCUUCUCUGUCCAAAGCUGCUGGGGGCAAUGGCACCUUCCAGCAACUCCCUGCGAGCUGGAAACCUCCAGAGAAGCGGAGCAGAGCUGGAACACAAGGAGAUAACGGAGCUCGAGCCCAUUCAAAGCUGCCCGGGUGUCUGUGAGGGUGUAAUGCUCAGCACCAUCUAGUGGUCGUCACCUGCGGCUAUUCGCUCACACAACGCCACAAACGGGGCCUGUUUGAUUUACAGCACUUUUCUUCCCCAUAGCCAAUCUGUCAAGAGACGUG